CCCGCGGGCCCCUUCCGGUACGGCCGCGCCCCGGAGCCGCCGGAUCCCCCCCGCGCCCACGCGCCACCCGGGACGGAGCGGCCGGGACGGGGACUGGACGCCGCGCCCAGCAGGCCCCGCGGGGAAAUGGCCUUUCCUGAGGGAGGCUGAGCACAUGGAACAACGUCUACUCCCGCAACCACAACCAUUCCUCUUUAAAGGGCCCAGGCCAAAGAACUACACUUCCGGAGAGCUCUCUUGCAACUGAGAACUAUGCUUCCCAGCCUCCCUUGCAACUGAGAACUACGCUUCCCAAGCUCCCUUGUAAUUAAGGAGGAUGAUGAAAGAAGAGGAAGUCACUGGGCGAGGCUUCCGGGAACGCUAUUUAAAGGAAACUGCCUUGGCUUGCUUUCUAGCAUUGGCCACUUCCUCCUUCCUGCUCCCUGGAACAUAAACAAGAUAGCUGGGGUUACAGCAGCCAUUUUGGACCAUGAGGAAGGAAGGGAGGACAUCAGAUGACAAGGGCGAUGGUACAGAAAGGGAUGAGUCACAAGCACUUGUGGACAUCCCUAGAUGUCCUCUAGACUUGAGUUAUUUUUAUGAAUUUUCAAUAUGGUGUCAGAGGUCAAUUUUUUUAAAUUAUUUAUUUUUUAAAGAGUUUUAUUUAUUUA